rnacentral:lncRNA from 1 species
GGCGGGAGCACGCGGUGCCGCAGCCCUUCCCUGCGCCCCCGCCACCCCCUCCACCCCGCCGGCUCCGCUCCACAGAAAUUCCCCUCCUAGGGCCAAUAGCUCACAUUUCCGGCUUCCUUCUCAUUGUACUGGGUCAUUUUCGUUUAAGCGUCAAUAUUUGUCCUUAGUGAUUAAAGUUUGUAUCCAAUUUUAUUUUUGAAAGCGGGGGUGGUGGUGGUAGUGGGAAGAGUGGGAGUGCAGGGAGAGGAUGCGAGAGGGCAGGAAAUGGAGGAGGUAGAGGCGAGGCACUACUUUUCCGAGUCGGCCCUGCAGGCCAGUGUCUGGCAUUUCUGAGCCAGCAGGAAAAUUGUGCCCUUUGUAGGUAAUAGUCUAGCGCAGCUUUGGAUAAGGGGGGAGAGAAGGCCCACCGCUGGCGUGUGUGCGGGGGUGUCCUUUACUUCGGGGGAGGAGGGUGUGGGAGAGCUUUGGGAGCGAUGAGAUGAGGAGGAGGAAGUGGGCAGAGGAGCGCGGGGCCAAACAGGGGUUACUUACUCGAUUCCUGAGGCCUGGGCGGCGGCGAGCUCCGGGCUCCGGCGCCGCGGGGAAACCGGGCCUGGGGCUCCGGGUGCUGCUGCGGCGGCCGGGGCCGCUCAGUAGUGGGCGCCUCUGAUGGCCUUCCGAAAUGAGAGGUGCCCAGAGAGAAAACAGUACCAAACAAUCUCGAAAUAAAUCAGGUAACACAUGCUAUAUACGUGUGUCUCUUCCUUUUCCUUCUCUCCUGCUCCAGAGCGUCGCUCACGCGCGGGGUGACUCGAUGUCGUUUUCUCCUCGCCGCUCCAGCCUCAGCUUCUAAUCCGAAUUGGAAGCGGGUAGCUGCGAGCGAUCACCCUGGAAAUAUUUUCGUUUUGCUUGUUGACAUUGGAGGGAAAAUAAGGGUGGGCGUCUAUUUCUUUCCGGUUUUUUUUUUAAGCCUUCCUAUUUUCACUCCUUUUUUUUCUUUCCGUUUCUCAAAUGCUUUUAUUUUGUGCGGGCCUCAUUCCUGAAAUAACAGUAUACUGAAGCCAGCUCUUGCCAACCCUGAGUGCUGCUGGAAAGCACCGGGGAGCCUUGGGAACGUGGAUCUCACAGUCCCAGCUUCUUGGGCUUUGGAACUGGGAAGGUUCGGUUGGAGGUUGAAGUGAAUGGGGAAAUUGCGAAUCCGGGGCUUUAAAAGGAUCCCGUGGCCAGGGGCAGGGCUAAGGCCCAGCAUUUCCCAGGGAUUGGAAUUUAGUGGGGAGCACAUUGAUCAAAGGCUGUUUCAUCCCACAUGGGCACGAAACAUACCACAUUUUACGGAGGAUGUAGCCCCAGAGAAGAGGGAGGUGGAGAAGCAUAAAUGAAAAGCACCUUUUCCUUCCUCUAGAAGAUGCACAGAGAAUUUCUGACCUUGUGACGUUUGGGAGUGAGGAGAUCCCAUACAGAGGCAUCCAGGUAUUUCCAGAGAUCCUGUGGCAGGUGAGGUCUGCCCUCGCUGGAGCCAACUCGUCUAUAAUAUCUUCCUAACAGCAGAUACCAUAGAGGAGAGGUCGAGGUCCUUCCACUGCAGCACCAAGUGGGGUAUAUAAAGCCACACUGCCCAUGAGGGCUGUGGCGUGAGUCUGCUAGCCGUGAGAGACAGAUGCAUUACAAAG